rnacentral:tRNA from 1 species
GCGGUUGUGGCGGAAUUGGUAGACGCGCAAGGUUGAGGGCCUUGUGGCCUGUAUAAGGCCGUGGAGGUUCGAGUCCUCUCAACCGCA